rnacentral:rRNA from 1 species
CUCGUAGGUCGUUUGUUACGUCGGAUGUGAAAACCUGAGGCUCAACCUCAGGCCUGCAUUCGAUACGGGCAAACUAGAGUUUGGUAGGGGAGACUGGAAUUCCUGGUGUAGCGGUGGAAUGCGCAGAUAUCAGGAGGAACACCAAUGGCGAAGGCAGGUCUCUGGGCCAAUAUUGACACUGAGGAGCGAAAGUCUGGGGAGCGAACA